UUCAUGGGUCUAAGCAGACGGGUGGAAUCGGAUGCUUCCGUUGAUUUGUCACAUACAGUUCAACUAUAAAAUAUCGAGACUUAGCUAGAAUAUGGGAGUUUUUGCUGAUGAUAUCCUUUUGGAAGUGCUGCUUAUGAACUGUACCUCACAGCAAGAAUAUAAUUUGGACAUGAUUGUUUUUGAUUCCUUAUUUAUCAGUGUCUUGGAUUUGCAAUAAUGGACUACUCAACUAUCUGGAUCAAAAAAGAGGGGCCAUGUGAGACAUCUACUGUGCCAGAGUCGAUGGUCCAGGUUUACCCAUCCAAUGUGAAAGUAGAAGAGGAUAUGCAAGGGGGUAUGAAUCCGGAGGGAGCACUAAAGGCCAAAGUAGCACAACAAAUCCACACACAUUACAGGAACUCAAGGAUAAUAUCCAUGAGUCAGUUCAUUCACUUUCUCAAAGAGAAGUACAUUGUGUGACAAAUAAUUUCUUCAGUAGAUGUGAGGAAUGCGUGGAAAAAAAUGGCAAGUAGUUCCAGCAUCUCAAUGCAUGACGUAGGCAGAAGAUAGGAAUGAAGUGCCAACCUAUUUCUAAACUGGAAGUGCAGUCUGUAGCAAAUUAUGUGGAGAGUUUGCAUAGCAAUAGCAGUAAUACAAGGUGUCCAACAAAGGACUUCCUAACAUUAGAAUUAAAUAACAUGAAAAUAGUAGAAUAGACAUUAUGUUUACUGUGGAAGCAGUAAGAACUUUAUAUAGAAGCUUUGAAAUAAUAGUUACAAAACAUGGAA